rnacentral:rRNA from 1 species
GUAGGGGGGCAAGCGUUGUCCGGAAUUAUUGGGGCGUAAAGCGCGCGCAGGCGGUCUCUUAAGUCUGAUGUGAAAGCCCACGGGCUCAACCGUGGAGGGUCAUUGGAAACUGGGAGACUUGAGUGUAGGAGAGGAAAGUGGAAUUCCACGUGUAGCGGUGAAAUGCGUAGAUAUGUGGAGGAACACCAGUGGCGAAGGCGACUUUCUGGCCUACAACUGACGCUGAGGCGCGAAAGCGUGGGGAGCAAACAGGAUUAGAUACCCUGGUAGUCCACGCUGUAAACGAUGAGUGCUAGGUGUUAGGGGGUUUCGAUGCCCUUAGUGCCGAAGUUAACACAUUAAGCACUCCGCCUGGGGAGUACGGCCGCAAAGGCUG